rnacentral:rRNA from 1 species
CCCUUAGAUGUUCUGGGCCGCACGCGCGCUACACUGUCGGAUUCAGCGAGUCUUAACCUUAACCGAAAGGUUUGGGUAAUCUUUUGAAAGUCCGACGUGAUGGGGAUUGAUCAUUGCAAUUAUUGAUCAUGAACGAGGAAUUCCUAGUAAGCGCGAGUCAUCAGCUCGCGUUGAUUACGUCCCUGCCCUUUGUACACACCGCCCGUCGCUACUACCGAUUGAAUGGUUUAGUGAGAUCUCCGGAUUGGCACCAUCGCGGCUUCGCGGCUGUGACGGAAUGCCGAAAAGUUGAUCAAACUUGAUCAUUUAGAGGAAGUAAAAGUCGUANCA